rnacentral:rRNA from 1 species
CCUACGGGGGGCAGCAGUGAGGAAUAUUGGUCAAUGGACGCGAGUCUGAACCAGCCAAGCAGCGUGAAGGAUGACUGCUCUAUGGGUUGUAAACUUCUUUUAUAUGGGAAUAAAACGUUCCACGCGUGGGCUUUUGUAUGUACCUUACGAAUAAGGAUCGGCUAACUCCGUGCCAGCAGCCGCGGUAAUACGGAGGAUCCGAGCGUUAUCCGGAUUUAUUGGGUUUAAGGGGAGCGUAGGUGGAUUGUUAAGUCAGUUGUGAAAGUUUGGGGCUCAACCGUGGAAUUGCAGUUGAAACUGGCAGUCUUGAGUACAGUAGAGGUGGGCGGAAUUCGUGGUGUAGCGGUGAAAUGCUUAGAGAUCACGAAGAACACCGAUUGCGAAGGCAGAUCACUGGACUGCAACUGACACUGAGGCUCGAAAGUGUGGGUAUCAAACAGGAGUAGAUACCCCAGUAGUC